rnacentral:lncRNA from 10 species
CUCAGAUCUCCCUGGCCUGCAACUCACAUCUUCCCCCUCAAAGCCACAGUCACAGUAGCCCUAGGCCUCCAGUUCCCUGUGCUAUCCACUCUGGGAACCAGGCAGGAAUGGGCGGGGAAGCGGUACAGGAAAAUCCAGGACGGAAGGAGCAGAGCUGAGAACAGAGCCCGGCCUCCCCACUGCCACAAGGGGAAGGUGAGGCAUCCUCUACUCCAGGGGUGGGUCAUCGCUGGAAGGUGCUGCAAAGCUCCUAUGAAAUCAGCAAGAGUGUAGGCAGCAAGGACACUAUUUGUCUACGCCUAAAAUGCAGUGAAUAAGACUUUAGAAUUUGAUCCAAGUACUACAGCGAUACAAGGCCUUUGAUUUAGAAUGUGUUCUCUUAAAAAGUCUCCAAGGGAGUCUGUUGCUGAACCGAAUUCAAUUUUAAAACGCCGUGAAGGGAGGGAAGAACCAAGUACAGGGCUCAAUCACGUAAAAAGUCUAAAGAAUUAUGUCAUUAGCAAUCUUUAACCUCUGAAAAGCGCCACAGAAAUGUAGAGCACGUCUUCCUAAUGGAACCGAGAAAUUUUAUGCUGACAGGUGGAGGGGCUUAUGGGACAGCGGGCCGGUGGCCAAAGAAGAUUCCAGCGGAAUACAGUCAGGAGGCCGACUUUAAAACUCCGAUCCUCCGGGAAGGCCACGCGGAGUGUCUGCCUGGCGCAUAGCAUCAGUAAAUAGGUGUUGGAUGAAUAUGAAUGGAAGGAGAGAAGACAACCUAAUCAUUCCUUCUUAAAUGUGAGUCUGAUUUUUGUUUCUUUGAAAGCACGGCCCCUAAAUUAUUCCACUGAAUUUUUGAAGCAACUCUAUCAGAAGACCCAAGAGUCCCCACCCGGUGGAUAUCGCCCCUGAGUUUUGGUACGUGAUCAUAGAGAAGAAAAGCCUCCACUCAGGUCUGCGGCUACUGGUAAAAAUUAACGUAAGCAGGGCCUGAAGAGGAUAGUGCUUGACGGGGAUGCGCCAGGGACCUUCUAGAAUCUGCUCCUCUGGGCAACAUUUCUUUCAGUUGUGUUCUCUGCAACAUGGGUGUUUAUCAAAAUGCCAACACGUGCUACAAGAACAAUCAAUGCUAGUGGUAUUUUGUUCCUAAUAAAAUUAACAAUGUCAUUUCCCCUUCAUUUGCUUUUUUGGUUCUGUAAUGAAGUGCUUUUUAAGCAUAGAAUCAAAUUUUGACCAUUUCCUCAGCACAUGACCUGUGAGACCACUGUUUUUACUUCUGAGCUGGAAUGUUUUGUCUACCCAGCAGCCUCCCUUCUCCUGAGAACCUCAC